AGUGAACGCUGGCGGUAGGCCUAACACAUGCAAGUCGAACGGCAGCACAGUAAGAGCUUGCUCUUACGGGUGGCGAGUGGCGGACGGGUGAGGAAUACAUCGGAAUCUACUUUUUCGUGGGUGAUAACGUAGGGAAACUUACGCUAAUACCGCAUACGACCUACGGGUGAAAGCAGGGGAUCUUCGGACCUUGCGCGAUUGAAUGAGCCGAUGUCGGAUUAGCUAGUUGGCGGGGUAAAGGCCCACCAAGGCGACGAUCCGUAGCUGGUCUGAGAGGAUGAUCAGCCACACUGGAACUGAGACACGGUCCAGACUCCUACGGGAGGCAGCAGUGGGGAAUAUUGGACAAUGGGCGCAAGCCUGAUCCAGCCAUACCGCGUGGGUGAAGAAGGCCUUCGGGUUGUAAAGCACUUUUGUUGGGAAAGAAAAGCAGCAGGUUAAUACCCCGCUGUUCUGACGGUACCAAAAGAAUAAGCACCGGCUAACUUCGUG
rnacentral:rRNA from 1 species